rnacentral:lncRNA from 1 species
GUUUGAUUGUUCAGCUUUCGAGGUUUUGCCAACCCCUCCUGCUCGUCGGUCUGUCCGCGUGCAGCAUUUCUAGAAAGCAAAGCGGAACAAGAAGAGCCGCGGAGGGUAGUAGUCUAGUAGAUAACAACAAAUGGAACAGCAGUGCGCAAAUUAUUAGAAGUCUCUCCCCAGCGCCAAAGGUUAAGAAAGCCUGGUUGCCUCCUCCGACUAAUCAAAUUCCAGCCUUCAUUUAUUAUUAUACUCCUAGUGGUAAACCAUGUGCUGGGCCUUGGACGUGACGCGCCUCAUGAUCAUCGCCGAACUCGGAUCCUCUACGCCGCCGUAUAUAUCCUUGGCUGCUUUGGCAUGCGUCGACGGUGGAUCGCACGCAGCGAAGAUGCAGACGCGACGGUUGCUAUAUAAGGGCAUGUUUAGUUCGCUACCUAACUUGACAUAUUUUAACUAACUUUUCUAUUUAAUGUUAGUUCUUCAAUUUAAAUGAUUAAACUUAAGUAAAGUGUAGCACGGUUACCCUUGAACCAACCAUGUAGGGUACAAUACUCCUAAUGAUUGGCAGAGUAAUUAAUGAUAAUAGUAGUAGUAUAAAGAGCGGAUAACGAACCUUGUUCUGAAUCCAAUUCCAUCUAUGACGAUAUCGUCCGAUCCCAUGUCAUCCUUCCUCACCCAUCCAAUUCCGACGCGAAACUUGCAGCCAUGCGUGCGUCGUGAUUGGUUUGGUAGGUUGAGCAAACACAUGGCCGGGGAGGGACCAUGCGAGAGCGAGACGCGCGCG